rnacentral:misc_RNA from 1 species
CUAGAAAAAGUGCUCAAAUGCACGUAAGAGCCUGAGUAGCCAGAAAAAAUUAUUUACAGUUCGGCCUCAAUGAUUCAGAGAAGCAUUCAUCCUACAUUUUACAGGAUAUAUAUAUAUAUCAAACUAUUCAAGAUUUGAGAACAAAAAAUAGCACAAAAUGAUGAUUGUAACUGGCCUUCAGAGGUAGAUGCAUUUUUUAAUCUUGAAGGGCCAAAGCUAAAGUGGGAAUUCUGAAAGGAAGCUUGAUUUGCGACUCAAACACGUGAAACUCCAGAAAGAGGAUUUCCACCAUUGACUUUUCCAUUUACAAGGAUAUCAUAGGUAGUGUCAUCAGGAACUAGACCUUUGUCAAGCAUCUCGUUAUGCAGUCUAAAGGCCUCUUGUAGAUUGCCCUCUUUAAAGUGCCCAGCAAUCAGGGUAUUGUAAAUAAGGACAUUAGGUGUGGUACCCUUCCUAUCCAUCUCUUCCAAAAUUUUCCGUGCAUUUUCUACUUGUCCUUUACUACAAAGACCAUUUAUCAAAACAGUAAAUGUUAUUAUGUCAGGCAUGAUACCCUUGGCAAGCAUUUCUGAGUAAAGAUCUGAUGCAAGGAGUAAUUUGCCCUCUUUUAGCAAUCCAUCUAUCAGUGUAGUGUAAGUUUUCAAAUCACAAGGAAUCCCCUCAUUUAACAUUCUUUUUUGCAAGUUGAGUGCUGCUUCCAUAUUUCUAAGAUUCCUGUAGCCACUUAUCAUGCUAUUGUAAACUACUGAAUUUGGCGACAGUCCAACUUCCACAAGUUCAGAGAAAAGCUGACUUGCAGUUUCCAUGUCUCGUUGUUUGCAAAAUCCAUCUAUCAGAGCACAAUAUGCAGUAACAUCCAGUUUAAGACCCUUGUUUUUCAUUUCAUUCCGCAUCUUCAUAGCAAGACCAAUAUUGUUGCUUUUGCAAAAUCCAUUAAUCAAGGUAGUGUAAGUGACAACAUUUGGAGAAACUCCACUUUCACACAUCUCUCUGUAAACAGUCAAAGCAGAAUUGAUAGAUCCUUCCCUCAAAUAUCCAUCAAUUAUGCUGUUGUAUGUUAAGCAGAUGGGAAUGAAACCAUUCUCAACAAACUUCUUCAGCAUAUCUUGUGCGUCAGAUGUGCGACCAACUUUACACAAUCCAUUGAUUAUAGUAUUGUAAGUGAAAUCUGAUGGGACAAUAUUUUCAUCCACCAUUCGGUCAAACACAUCAAAAGCAUAUUCAGUGUCACCUCUUUUGAAAUAUCCGUCCAUCAAAACAGAAUAUGUGAUUACAUUAGGUUUUAAACCCAUUUCAAGCAUCUCCGAAAAUACACGAGAUGCCAUAUCCAAGUUGCCUUGUCUGCAGUGGCCAAGUAUCAUGCUGUUGUAAGAAACUACAGUACGACUCACCCCUUUGGACAUCAUCUUUUCCCAUAUACUGCAUGCUUCACUCACCUUACCCUCUUUACAGAGCCAUGAUAAAAAAGAAUUAUAAGUGAACACAUUGGCAAUGUCACAUGCAACUGCUUCAUCAAACAACUUGGAUGCCUCUUCAAGUGAUUGCAUUUUCAUGAAUCCCCGAAUCAAGGAAUUGACAAUGAAGACAGAAGGGCAGAUAUCCUUGUUUUUCAUUUGGGUAUAAAGCUCAUAAGCUCUAUCUAUACUCCCAUUCCUACAGCACCAUUCAAUCAUAACUGCAUACGUAACCUUGUUUGGACUAGGUCCAAUCUCAUUCAUUUUAUCAAAUAAAUCUAAAGCGCUAUGCAAGUCACCUUGCUUGCAAUAACCCUUAACCAAACUCGUUGCCACCACCACAUUCAUUUGUUUCCCACAUCUCAUCAUCUCGUCCUUAAGCAUCAAUGCUUCCGCCAUAUUUCCUUGCUUGACACAAGCCAGUAUAACACUGGUAAAGGUACCCUCAGAUGGAACCCAACCCUUAUCUCUCAUCUCGCUUAACAGCCCACAAGCCAAAUUAACAUCAGAAUUCUUGCAAAAAGCCUGAAUAACCAUGCUAUAAACUGCAGCAUCAAGUUCCAUCCCUCUAUCCUUGGCGUUGCUAAAAAAUUUCUUUGCCUCCUCAUGUUUGUUUUCUUUCAAGCUUGCACGCAUCAUUAUAUGAACUGUAAAAAGAUCACCAUGGAGCCCUUUCAAAACCAUCUCGUUAUAGACUUUUUGUGUUUCACAAAUCAUGUUAUUCCUAACUAAUGCACUCAGAAAUAUGUUCAGAAAUGGAACCCAAGGAAAGAUAUUGCCCCCUAUCAUUCUAUUAAAACAAUCAACAGCGUCAUUUAACUUGUUUGCUCUAACAUAACUAUUCAACAAGUAAUUAUAAACCCGUGAAUCCGAUUCAAAAUCAAACCUUUUUGCAGUCUCAAUUAAGUGAUCAACAAGAACAGUAGGCAUGGGGCCCGAAUCACCCGAAAUAAAUCGGUUAAGCAGAUUCUGCGCGCGUCGAGAAGUCUCUGAGGACCUUGUCAAAAUGUGAAGCAGAACACAUAACGAAUCAAGGCUCCUAACAAACUUACGUGUCCGUUCCAAUCGAUUGAAGUAGGUUAAAGCUGACAUUGGGUCGUUUCUGUGACUUAAAAGAGUAUCGAUAGCAUUUGUUCGCGUCAAUACUGUAUCUUGCGAGGUAAGUGUGGUGAAUUUGACUUGUUCGGACUCGGGGAAAGUUUGGUUUCCCUGAAAAUUGAAAUCUGAAGCAGGUUUCUCAGGAAAAUGUGGAUGUUGGUUGCCUUUCUCGGCAUUAUUGAAGUUUGAAUUGGGAUUGUGUAACAGUGAGGAUUCUGGAUUGGGUUCACUGGGCAAUUGAGGUUGUGAACAGAGAGAUUUAGGAUUUGCAAAGGAGCGAAGAAGGAAUGGAGGAAUCGGUGAAGAAAUGAGUGAAGAUCUCAUUGUCUUUUGAAAUUUCACUUGGAGAAGGAGAAGACCAAAAACCCUAAUAACU